ensembl:lncRNA
UUUAUGUUCCCCUUUGAUCAUAAAGCUGCAUCAGCAGUAUUUCAAAGUCACAAAGUCAAAUUUAAUCUGAAACUUUGUUCAUUCACAAUCACAACAUCAAAGAUGUUUCAUGAUGAAAUACUGCAUACAGGUAGAUUAAUGAUGUUGAUGUUUGUACACAUAUACAUUGUAUCAUCACAUCGCUAUCCUCAUUAGCAUGUUUUGGGUGUAACUGAACAAAUAUAAGGAAGUGAAAAAAGGGAACAACUAACUAAGCAGUUUUCUUAUAAUCUGACAGACGGAGUGAAGUGUCAGACGCUGUUCUUCUGAAGUUUAACAACUUUUCUCUCAGGAUCAAAACCAAAAUGAAAAUCCUCCAUUUUCUCUUCUUUGUUUUCUUGUCAGGUGAGGACUGAAUACCUCAUUGUCUCUUUCAUGCUGUUCUUUAUUUAUUUUAAUUUUUUAAGGGAACUUUAUAAAAUGCACAUAUUCACAUUUGAUAUUCAUCUUACUAUUAUUGUUAUUAUCUGACAGAUGCAGCUGUGCUUGUCAAGGCAAAGCUCAAUAUUUGGUCUGCAGCUGAAGGAGGAAAUGCUUCACUUUACUGCCACUUAACUUUACCUGGAAGCACAAAGUUCUUCUGUAAGGAAAAAUGUGAGCGAGCAGAAGAUAUCCUCAUUAAAACAGAUGGAAGCACAGCUCAGAGUGGGAGAUACAGCAUUAAUUAUAAAGAUGGAUCUUCAGGUAAAGGAAUUGUGUCUGUGACCUUCACACACAUGAUCAAGUCUGACUCAGGACUGUACAGGUGUGGUUUGGGAAAAUCUUCUGCUCCGGAUUCAUACUAUGACUUUGAGGUCAGAGUUUCAAAUGAUCUGGAUAAAAACUCUGGUUUUACUCGCACAGAAACUGAGGGAGAAGCAGUCACAUUGGGAUGUUCCAAUACUGUGUAUGGACAGAGGAAGUUCUUUUGUAAGAAUCAGUGUAAGAAUGAAGGGGAGAUCCUCAUUGACACAAGCAAUAACAAAGCUGUGAGUGGCAGAUACAGCAUUGAAUACACAGCAGGAUCUACAUUUGGACUGUAUGUGACCAUCACACAGCUGACCAAGUCAGACACAGGAGCCUACAGGUGUGGUUAUGGAAACCCUCUGUCUCCAGAUUCAUACUACAGUGGCAGUCUUGUUGUCAUUGGUAAGUAGGAUGUAAGAAAUAUGUGAUUUAAAAAAUCAAUAGCAUGCUUUGUCAGUAGGAUAAAAUAAGAUAAAAACUGAAGACUCCUGUUACUCACUGUCACGGUCGGGGCUAUUGUCUCCUUUCACCUUAUCUUUUGUUAUUAUCUUUUCUUUUGUUAUUUUGAAUAACACCUUAAUUUAUUAGUUCUAAUGAGUUGCCUGUAUCCUGCAGUAAAACCUGAGCAGAAGAUUUGUGACUUAUUGUAUGAAUGAACAGUUGGCAAAAGUGCAUAACAAUCCUUAUGUUAAAUCUUUUGUUGGAGGGAGUUGUUCUUUUAAAUUUUCUGUUUCUUCAAAAAUGUCUGUUCACAUACAUAUAAAAUCAUAGCUGAGGCCAAAUGUAUUCGAGUGUUACAGUCAAGUUGCAGUUAAAGUUGUGUUGGUGAUGACAUUGUGUUCAACUGACAGACAAAACCUGUGUCUCAAAUGUGGCUUGAGAAAAUUAUGAAUCAAACUGAAUUUCAAAAAAAUCACACCGUUAUUAAUUCUAGCCUAAAAGCAUGAUGGUGUUAUAUUCUGAACAGAAUUUUAUUUGUGAUAACUCAAGCUACGGUUAAUUGCUAAUUUAACAGUUAAUGUAUAAGACACUGCAGAAUGUAAUAUUUUUUAAGGAAAACAAUAUAAUCAUGUGCAGAACAACCAUCUGUGAUACCAACAUCCAAACUCACUUUUUCGGUGUGCACUAAAGUUUUCCACUUUAAGGUUUUGAAGAGUCUGAGUUCAUCAGGUGAUGUGGAUUGAUACUGAGAUCACCUGAUUUGAUAAAACUGAGUCUGAACAUGGCUUGCUGGUCUACUUUGAAGAUUUCAUUAUAAUGUUAAUGCUGCAUUUUGUGUUGGAUAAAUGUUUGUAUUUUCAAGUGUCACUACUGAUUUUUUAAAAUUUGCUUAUUGUUCACAGGUUCAAAUCCACCUACUUCGACAUCACAAGCAACAACUAAAACAACACAAACACCACCAACAACAACAGCACAGAGUCAGAGUUUCACUCCAAGGAUUUCUACGUCUUCAUCAGAUUGUCCUGACUCCUCCUUGGGUCUGGCUGUGUGUGUGUCUCUGAUUGGUGUUUUACUGAUGGCUGUUUUCAUCCUGCUCCUCUACAUUUAUAAGACAAGGAGGAACACUGCACCGAACACCAGAGAAAAUGCAGGCAACAAAAACAUGGAGGUGAGUUUCUGUCACUUGUUUACUUUCUGUCUAUACAGGUUUAUGUGACCACUGAAACCUGACGAUUCAUGCAGUCAGUGUGAUGUUCACAAUGAAGUGUAGUGAAAAAGAAACAUUUUCCACUGAAUGACAGACAAAGUGACAGAAACAUGUUCUAUUCUUCUUUUAGUACUUCUUAUUGUUAUUAUGUUGGUUUUUCUGCAUGUGCAUGUUUUACUUCCCAGACAAACAUCAAGUCACCAACAUUUUAAAGGUGUCAUAUCUAAAUAUGUGAAAGCACAUUUAGUCCUGUCAGUAUUUUGCGCUGAAGCAAAACUGCUGUACUUCUCAUUUUUUACAGCAUGAAACUGAUAAUGCAUAAUGUGUUUGAAACCUCAGCUUUUAUGUUGCUUAUGUUUUAUUUUCAGUUAUCUGGCACAUAUGAGAACUGGGGUCCACCCUCCAAACAUAAAGGCAGUAAGGACCAGGAUCACGUCUACUCUGCAUUGUAAAAGGCACAAGUCUGAAAAUGCUAAAAUGCUAAUGUUCUGAUGCUUUUUUUUUCUCUUUGGGCAAGUUUAAGAUCUUAUAUAAAUUGCUUCACACACAUAUAAACAUAUAUAUGAAUUGAGCUUAUUUUUUACAGUUACUUUCUUUCUAGGUAUUCUUGACUUCUUUCUUUAUCCAUAAGUUUGACUGAAUGAAACAUUCAUGUACCACAUUUAAUAAUAAUGCAAAGUCUGCAAGUGUACUAAGAUUUGUUAUUGCUGGAGAUCAGGAAGAGUUUCUUAUGUUUCCCAUUUUUAUUGACAUAUUUAGCAUUUCACAUAUAUUUAGCAUGGUAGCAAAAAAGCUUCAGUAUGCAACCUUAGCUUUGUAACACUGAGAACAUGCUUAUUACGCUGCAUUAUAAACAAUUGAAAGAGAUCAGUGGAAACAUGUUUUAUUGGCAGAAACAGAAAACCAGAAGCUUUUUUCUAACAUGCAAUAAAUUGUUCAAAAGUUUGCACAAAAGAACACAAGAGGAAUAUCGUCUGGACAUCACAGAUUUGGUACAGCAGCGCUCUGUGGAACUGUAGAUAGUAUUAUAUUGCUAACAGGCCCCUGUGUAACUGCAGGAGCAAAUAAUUCUAACAAAAACAGCAUUACAGGAAAAGGUGCAGAAGUAGCAUUACAUGAGAGAGUGCAAAAGUGGAACACUAACCCGCCAUCUAACACAUCUUGAUAAGUAUAGAUCAAAAAGGAGAACUAGGAAGAGAGCUUGACGCGCUUAGACACCCCACAAACUCACACUCAUAGAAAAUGAGGCAAUGGCAGAGAAACAGAGACAGAGUGGAUGUGCAGAACCAUAAAAGGAGAGAUGAAUUGAUGUGUAAGACCAUAAAAGGAAAAGAUAAGAAUUUCAAAGGACAAGGGAGAUGUUUUGUUUGAAACUGAAUGAAUGGUGCAUGAACGCAGAGUACUGAAUGAGGAACUACAAAGAAGUAUAAAUGUAACAAACUGAGGGAGCGCCCCUCGGAUCAGCAGGAGGCUUUUGCGCUGUGCACAUCCCCCGUGUACAUGGAAGAUUAAAGAAGCUGCUGAACUGAAAAGUCUGUCUUGAGUCUUGUGUUUUGUUUUUUUUACCAGGUCAGAAUCCAAGUAUCGGGGUGACAGCUGGUCGCCAACAGGUCCCCAAGUCGUUUGGUACCGGGCUGCGAGAGUUGAGGCUCGGGUGUGGAAUUUAUGGUUUUCAGGGUUUUUAUCGUUAACUCGGUUUCUCUGGGUCUUUUCCCAUGUUGUAGUUGUGUCUUAUUUUGAAAGAAAUAUUUACACAUUACCAGUGGCGGUCCUAGCCUGUUUGGCACCCUGGGCGAACACUCCUCCCCCCCCCCCCCCCCCCCCCCACACACACACACACACACGAAACGUAUUAAGGAUUGUACAUUAACAUAAAACUGUUGUCGGAACCAUACUGAAUUUCACCAGAGAAAAAUGCGCACACACACACGGAUAUGAAGAGAGAGUAUGCAUAGUAUGCAAACGGCCACCAAACAGCCAUCAUAAUGUGUCAUACAAUGAGAACAGAACAAAUCAACAAUUGACACUGACUAAUCAAUAUUAAAAUCUGUAACAUAGUGUAUUGUUUGGAGUUUAGUCUGUUACUGUUACUGUUUUUAACAUGUCUUCUUGGAGCAAGUGUAACCCACAUAAUUGUGUGGAUGCUGGCGGCAGCUGUUCUAAGACUGGGAGGCCCGGGUUCAAAUCCCACUUAUGGCAACAUUUCUUUCAUUUAACAGUUAAACUUUUUUUUAACUCUUUUCAACACAAAUUUCAGCUUUUUCAGCUGUUUUUAGCAAAAACCUCUUUUCAGCAGAAAUUCUGCUGAUUGAACUCUUUUCAGCAGAAUUUUCACCUCUUUUCAGCCCAAAUUCUGCUUAUUCACCUCUUCUGCAAAAUUUUCAGCCUUUUCACCUCUUAUUAGCACAAAUCUCAGCUGUUUUCAGGAAAAACUCUUUUCAGCAGAAAUUCUGCUGAUUCACC